GCGGGCAUAGUACAGCGGUUAGUAUGCGAGUUUUCCAAACUCGAGAUGAGGUUUCGACUACCUCUGCCCGCACCA
rnacentral:tRNA from 1 species